GGGAUGGAAUUUAAUUUGUUCAGAUGGUUUUUUGUUUGAUGUUGUGAGGCUGUAGCCUGGUGAGGUUGACCAGGAGAGUGUAAGAGUGUGAUGUUGUAAUCUGGUGAGGGUGACCAGGAGAGUGUAAGAGUGUGAUGUUGUGAGGUUGUAAUCUGGUGAGGGUGACCAGCAGAGUGUAAGAGUGUGAUGUUGUGAUGUUGUGAUCUGGUGACCAGGAGAGAGUAAGAGUGUAAGAGUGUGAUGUUGUGAGGUUGUGAGGGUGACCAGGAGAGUGUGAUGUUGUGAGGUUGACCAGGAGAGAGUAAG
ensembl:lncRNA